UACGGGGGGGGCAAGCGUUGUUCGGAAUUACUGGGCGUAAAGGGCUUGUAGGCGGCCAACUAAGUCAUACGUGAAAUCCCUCGGCUUAACCGGGGAACUGCGUCUGAUACUGGAUGGCUUGAGAUUGGGAGAGGGAUGCGGAAUUCCAGGUGUAGCGGUGAAAUGCGUAGAUAUCGGGAGGAACACCAAUGGCGAAGGCAGCUCGCUGGGACGGUACUGACGCUGAGGCGCGAAAGCGUGGGGAGCAAACGGG
rnacentral:rRNA from 1 species